rnacentral:tRNA from 1 species
GGAGGUAUAACUCAAUGGAAGAGCACUUGCCUAGCAUGUGCAAGGGCCUGGGUUUAAUUCUCAGUACUGUUU